UCGAACGCGAAAGCCCCGCAAGGGGUAAGUAGAGUGGCAAACGGGUGAGUAACACGUGGGUGACCUGCCUUCGAGCGGGGGAUAACGUCCCGAAAGGGACGCUAAUACCGCAUGACAUCCUGCCUUUGAAGAGGUGGAGAUCAAAGCUGGGGAUCGCAAGACCUAGCACUCGAAGAGGGGCCCGCGCCUGAUUAGCUAGUUGGUGGGGUAACGGCUCACCAAGGCGACGAUCAGUAGCCGGCCUGAGAGGGCGGACGGCCACACUGGGACUGAGACACGGCCCAGACUCCUACGGGAGGCAGCAGUGGGGAAUUGUUCGCAAUGGGCGCAAGCCUGACGACGCAACGCCGCGUGGAGGACGAAGACCUUCGGGUCGUAAACUCCCUUCGAUCGAGACGAAUGGCCUCCGGGUGAACAGUCCGGAGGAAUGACGGUACCGAGAGAAGAAGCCCCGGCUAACUCCGUGCCAGCAGCCGCGGUAAUACGGGGGGGGCAAGCGUUGUUCGGAAUUACUGGGCGUAAAGGGCUCGUAGGUGGCCAACUAAGUCAGACGUGAAAUCCCUCGGCUUAACCGGGGAACUGCGUCUGAUACUGGAUGGCUUGAGUUUGGGAGAGGGAUGCGGAAUUCCAGGUGUAGCGGUGAAAUGCGUAGAUAUCUGGAGGAACACCGGUGGCGAAGGCGGCGUCCUGGACCAACACUGACACUGAGGAGCGAAAGCCAGGGGAGCAAACGGGAUUAGAUACCCCGGUAGUCCUGGCCCUAAACGAUGAAUGCUUGGUGUGGCGGGUAUCGAUCCCUGCCGUGCCGAAGCUAACGCAUUAAGCAU
rnacentral:rRNA from 1 species